GACUCGAUAGCUCAGUCGGUAGAGCACAUCACUUUUAAUGAUGGGGUCCUGGGUUCGAGC
rnacentral:tRNA from 1 species